GGCAUGUGAGUGCAACGGUGGCAAAGGCUUAGGGUUUUGGUCUCUAGGGUUUGUAGAAAUUGUUUGGUCAUUGGGCCAUAUUGUAAUUGGGCCACUAUUUUAGGGAUAUAGAUUGGGUAUGGGUUAAAUUAUUUUGGGCUGUAAUUGGACUGAUGUUAUUGUUUUUUUUUGGACUUUAAAUUUUUAUUUUGAUUUGAUUUUUUUAUUACGGGCCGGGCAAAACAGUCAAAGAUACAUACUUUUGUUUGGCUGAACUUUUUCCAAAGUGAGUGGCAAAUUAUGUUGGUCAAAUGCAAGGCAGGCAUGUUUGAAGCGGUGACGUAUAGAAAGAAAUUAGGAAGGCAAUAACACGAGCAAACUGUAUGCAUCCAGUGUGUUACUCGCGCGAAGACCUAUGGUUUCGAGUAACGAAGUUUGAUAGACUUGACC
rnacentral:lncRNA from 1 species